AAUGUACUGAAAACAAAACUUAUUUGUGAUAUAGUGCACAGGGUAGUUAUUCUAAUCUCAGUGAUACAUUCAUGUUCCACUAAGAGCGCUUACUCAUUUUCUGUACACAAGGUCAAGAGACUUUUGUUAAAUAAACAGAAAAAUAGGAAAAUGACUCACUUUCCCAGAGUUCCCUUGCCUUUGGGCUGUGCCUUCAUCCACUUCCACAGAGGGUGAGCGUUGUCUCCAUUCACAUCAAUCUUACUGAAGAGGUCAAACUCAGCGUUGUAACCUUUGGCAAACUCUUUUAUCUCUG